UACGAAGGGUGCAAACGUUGCUCGGAAUUAUUGGGCGUAAAGCGCACGUAGGCGGCUUUGCAAGUCCGAUGUGAAAUCCCUCGGCUUAACCAAGGAAGUGCAUCGGAAACUGCAGAGCUUGAGUACUUAAGAGGAUCGCGGAAUUCCCGGUGUAGAGGUGAAAUUCGUAGAUAUUCGGAAGAACACCAGUGGCGAAGGCGGCUCGCUGGACAAGUAUUGACGCUGAGGUGCGAAAGCGUGGGGAGCAAACAGG
rnacentral:rRNA from 1 species